GACGAACCGUGCGAACGUUGUUCGGAAUCACUGGGCUUAAAGGGCGCGUAGGCGGGUCUGCAAGUCCGGGGUGAAAGCCCCCAGCUCAACUGGGGAAGUGCCUUGGAUACUGCAGGCCUAGAGCGAGGUAGGGGCACGUGGAACUUCGGGUGGAGCGGUGAAAUGCGUUGAUAUCCGAAGGAACGCCGGUGGCGAAAGCGACGUGCUGGAUCUCUUCUGACGCUGAGGCGCGAAAGCCAGGGGAGCAAACGGG
rnacentral:rRNA from 1 species